GUUGAACGCUGGCGGCAUGCCUUACACAUGCAAGUCGAACGGUAACAGGUCUUCGGAUGCUGACGAGUGGCGAACGGGUGAGUAAUGUAUCGGAACGUGCCCAGUCGUGGGGGAUAACUACUCGAAAGAGUGGCUAAUACCGCAUACGACCUGAGGGUGAAAGCGGGGGACCGUAAGGCCUCGCGCGAUUGGAGCGGCCGAUAUCAGAUUAGGUAGUUGGUGGGGUAAAGGCCCACCAAGCCGACGAUCUGUAGCUGGUCUGAGAGGACGACCAGCCACACUGGGACUGGGACACGGCCCAGACUCCUACGGGAGGCAGCAGUGGGGAAUUUUGGACAAUGGGCGCAAGCCUGAUCCAGCCAUGCCGCGUGCGGGAAGAAGGCCUUCGGGUUGUAAACCGCUUUUGUCAGGGAAGAAACGGAUUUCUCUAAUACAGAGAUCUAAUGACGGUACCUGAAGAAUAAGCACCGGCUAACUACGUGCCAGCCGCCGCCGUAAGAC
rnacentral:rRNA from 1 species